rnacentral:rRNA from 1 species
AUUGAACGCCGGCGGAAUGCUUUACACAUGCAAGUCGAACGGCAGCACGGGGGCAACCCUGGUGGCGAGUGGCGAACGGGUGAGUAAUACAUCGGAACGUGCCCAGUCGUGGGGGAUAACGUAGCGAAAGUUACGCUAAUACCGCAUACGAUCUACGGAUGAAAGCGGGGGACCGUAAGGCCUCGCGCGAUUGGAGCGGCCGAUGUCAGAUUAGGUAGUUGGUGAGGUAAAGGCUCACCAAGCCGACGAUCUGUAGCUGGUCUGAGAGGACGACCGGCCACACUGGGACUGAGACACGGCCCAGACUCCUGCGGGAGGCAGCAGUGGGGAAUUUUGGACAAUGGGCACAAGCCUGAUCCAGCCAUUCCGCGUGCAGGACGAAGGCCUUCGGGUUGUAAACUGCUUUUGUACGGAACGAAAAGGCUCUGGUUAAUACCUGGGGCUCAUGACGGUACCGUAAGAAUAAGCACCGGCUAACUACGUGCCAGCAGCCGCCGUAA